rnacentral:rRNA from 1 species
GAUGAACGCUGGCGGCGUGCCUCAAACAUGCAAGUCGAGCGGGGCUAUGUAAUAUCGCAAGGUAGAACAUAGCCUAGCGGCGAACGGGUGAGUAACACGUGGGUAACCUGCCUGGAAGACAGGGAUAACGAUUCGAAAGGGUCGCUAAUACCUGAUAAUAUCCUUUCAUCGCAUGGUGAUAGGAAGAAAGGGGAAACCCGCUUUCAGAUGGGCCCGCGUCCCAUCAGCUAGUUGGUAAGGUAAAGGCUUACCAAGGCGACGACGGGUAGCCGGUCUGAGAGGAUGUACGGCCACACUGGGACUGAGAUACGGCCCAGACUCCUACGGGAGGCAGCAGUUGGGAAUCUUAGGCAAUGGACGAAAGUCUGACCUAGCGACGCCGCGUGAGGGAAGAAGGCCUUCGGGUUGUAAACCUCUGCCAUGGGGGAAGAAGUAAGUGACGGUACCCCAAGAGGAAGCCCCUGCUAACUACGUG